UCCCUGGCAGUCCAGUGGUUAGGACUUGGCACUUUCACUGCCGAGGGCCUGGGUUUGAUCCCUGGUUGGGAA
rnacentral:tRNA from 1 species